rnacentral:rRNA from 1 species
AUUGAACGCUGGCGGCAGGCCUAACACAUGCAAGUCGAGCGAGCGGCGGACGGGUGAGUAAUGUCUGGGAAACUGCCUGAUGGAGGGGGAUAACUACUGGAAACGGUAGCUAAUACCGCAUACCAUCAGAUGUGCCCAGAUGGGAGUAGCUAGGAGGUGGGGUAACGGCUCACCUAGGCGGCGAUCCCUAGCUGUGCUGAGAGGAUGACCAGCCACACGGGAACUGAGACACGGUCCAGACGCCUACGUGAGGCAGCAGUGGGGAAUAUUGCACAAGGGGCGCAAGCCUGAUGCAGCCAUGCCGCGUGUGUGAAGAAGGCCUUCGGGUUGUAAAGCACUUUCAGCGGGGAGGCGUUACCCGCAGAAGAAGCACCGGCUAACUCCGUGCCAGCCGCCGCGGUAAUAC